ACUUCCUUCAUUGCUGUGUCAUAUCUGUAAUUUAGCUACUGUUAUGAAUUGUAAUGUAAAUACCUAAAAUGCGGGUUGGCUGAUAUGGGACUCCUGUAAAAGGAUCAUUAGACUAGCCAAAGGAGACGUGACCCACAGGUUGAGAGACACUGACCCAGAGACUUCACAUGGAGAGAAAAGCCUGGAGAGGACUAUUGUAAUUUACACCAUCCACCCGUGGUGGCAGGGGAGGGGAGAGGGCAGGCAGAGUGUGUCCAAAAAGCACAGUUACAGCACUUAGAACUUAGGUGUCUCUGAGGUUCGAGAAUCAGGCAGCUCUGAUGUCCUAUGAGCCGAGCAGAGGGGGGCUUUUAGGUGGAAAAGGGCUGAAGCACACAGAACACACCGGACUUCCCACUUCAAAGCUACUUUCCUACAAGGAGUGUUGAUGGAGUCCUGGCCAAGAACCUGGGAGACUGAGAAAUGCAGGAAAAGCAAGACAUAGUGCAAGAAGGCUUGGACCAGGGACAAAGGCUUACAGCAGCUUCUCUGCAGCUCUGCGUCUUCUUAGACUUGGCCACCGCUGUGCACCUGGCAUUUUUCUGUGACUUUAUCCUUUACCCAGCUAGCUUAUAGAAUCUUUAAGUCUGUGCCCCGGAGUCUACCUGCCCCUCCUCCUGGUCUAAGCCCCUCCUGUGUUAGGAAAGAGAAAAGCCAUGAAGCUUCAUUCUGGGGAAAUCCGUUUCCCUGUGAUCUUGUGCAGAACUGAUUGGGCAGUGAAUCCAAUGAAGCCUGGAUUUAAAAGCUGCUCCGGAGGUGCAGUGGAAUCCUCUCUGCAGGGAGAGGCUGAUGAUAGACCGCUAGAUACCAAAUUGGCAAACCAUCACAUACCGGAAAGGAAGUGAUAACUGAAUAACACGCACGAAACACCAACGGCUUUGAUGCUCCCUGGAUUUCUUUCUGUUAUACAGGAAAGAGCCAAUUGAAAUCACAGUUCAUUUCCCAACCUUUAAUUUGAA